rnacentral:rRNA from 1 species
GACGAACGCUGGCGGCGUGCUUAACACAUGCAAGUCGAACGAUGAAGCUAGAGCUUGCUCUGGUGGAUUAGUGGCGAACGGGUGAGUAACACGUGAGUAACCUGCCCCGAACUCUGGGAUAACUGCUGGAAACGGUAGCUAAUACCGGAUAUGACCAAUGAAGGCAUCUUCUGUUGGUGGAAAGAAUUUCGGUUCGGGAUGGACUCGCGGCCUAUCAGCUUGGUGGUGAGGUAACGGCUCACCAAGGCGACGACGGGUAGCCGGCCUGAGAGGGUGAUCGGCCACACUGGGACUGGGACACGGCCCAGACUCCUACGGGAGGCAGCAGUGGGGAAUAUGGCACAAUGGGCGCAAGCCUGAGGCAGCAACGCCGCGUGAGGGACGACGGCCUUCGGGUUGUAAACCUCUUUUAGUAGGGAAGAAGCGAAAGUGACGGUACCUGCAGAAAAAGCACCGGCUAACUACGUGCCAGCCGCCGCCGUAA